rnacentral:lncRNA from 1 species
UCAAACCAAUCACUUGAAUUAGCAAUCAACUAUGAAUAACCAAUAGAGAGAGUAUAGAUAAAUUUAUGAGUAACCAAACUAAUAAUGUAGUGACCAAUUUUGGCUCGGGCACGCUAAAAAAAUCCCAAACCUAUAAUAAAUAAAUAAAUAAAUAAUAAAAUUAUAACAGUCCCUUAAAUACUUAAAGUCCAAUUACAUAGCAUAAGCCCAAUUGCAUGACCCCAUUACUAAUACUUUAGUCCCAUUACAAAAAAACCAGUAGCCCUACAGCCCAAAUAUGAACACCCCAAAUGGCCCAGAAAUUUUAGAACCUUAGGGUUCCUUCCCAUGCGCCGCAACCAGCAACCCCAGCAUCCUCCUGGCGCCACGCACCCCCCGUACACACGCCAGCACCACCCUGUACACCUCGAGCCAAGGGCCAACGCACAGUCCCGUACUCGUACCUGCAAAGGAGAACAGACAAAAGCAGCAAAGACGAAAAAAGAAGAAUUGUAUUUUCAUUUAUUUAUUUAUUUUUUUUACAUUCGGCUAUAAAAGCCUAUUGAUUUUCGAUUGUAAAGUUUUUUUUUGAGAGAAACACACAAAUACAAACACAGACAGCAAAUCAAUAGAAAAGCAAUAGAACAAGAAGGUGAUCUUUUCGAACGCCUCGUGCUUUUUUUUUCUUUUCUUUUUCGCAUCUGUUUCAUAUUCCUUUCGCUUUCAUAUGUUUCUGUAUAAUAAAAUAAAAGAGGGAGAGUGAAACUUUACCUUUGCGUACGAGCUAUUGAAGACCUCGUCUCCUUGGCUGAAAUCGAAGUCGGAGAUGGGAUUUCGGGGCUUAAAUCGAUGAGUUCCACGCUGGAGUGAAUGAAAGAGCAAAAAGGGGGGGUCACCGAAGGUCGUCAUUCAUCGUCGCAGUGAUGAAAUGAUGGCCGAACGGCGCAGAACCUUUGGGUUCCCCCUUUCCCCAUUGCUUUGAUUGAAAUGCCUCGGGUUUUCAGGGGCCUUGUCCUCUUUUAUUCGGUGAUGCGAAACGGUGCCGUUUAAGGCAUGAUCUGUAGCCUUAAAACGACACCGUCUAGAGAGCCUGACCCGACCCGUCCCCAGGUGCCCCGAGGACCCGCGCGUUUUCGUAGUGAGGGUUAUUUACAGGCUUGGUCCCUUCCUUUUAGCCCCAUUUUCAAAUCAAUUAAUAUUCGCAUUUUUUUUCUUUUUAAAUUUUACCCAUAAUUUGCGUGUGUUUUCAAUCAAGUCCGCAUUUUAAUGCUGCAUUGUGAGGACUGGAAUAUUUCCAGUUUAGAUCCUCCUGCAUUAUCGCGCCUCGCGCAUAGGUCCCUUUUUUUAUUUGCUCCAUUUUCUUAAUUUUCCCCUCUUGUUUUAGCUUAAUUUCGAUUAAGUCCUUUAGUUCAUAGCCCUUUUGUGUGUUCUUAAUUAAUUAUUUUUAAUUUUAAGUCAUGGUUAUUCCAUUGUUGUAAACUGUUCUCUUUUAGCAAUCCUAGUAUCAUGUUUUGUACAUUUUAAAUAUUGGUUUCAUUUAUAUAUAUAUAUAUAUUAUAACAAUGUUAAUCUAU